UUUAAAGGAUAAAAGACAAUCCAUUGGUUUUAGGCACCAAAAAUCU
rnacentral:tRNA from 4 species